rnacentral:tmRNA from 1 species
GGGGGUGACCGGUUUCGACUUCGGACGCCACGCCAGGGGAAGCGGGCCGAGGAUGAGCGGUUAUCUCGCUAACGAUCCGCUCAAAAAAAUAGCUGCCAACAAGACGCAGCCUGUUACCUCCCGUUACGCCCUCGCGGCCUGACGAGAUAUAGGUAACUGUCAGCCUGGGAGCUCCUCCGGCCCAGGACCUGGCAUCGCUAGGAGGAUCACCUCGCCACCCGGUCACGGGGUAGCGCGGAACAUCAAACAGUGACUGGGCCCACACCGGCCUGCCUGCGGGACCGGUGGGGCCGAGAAAUAAGGAGCAGGCUGCGCCCGGAGAAGCCCUGACGCGCCGCCGGAGGACGCGGGUUCGAUUCCCGCCACCUCCACCA